rnacentral:misc_RNA from 1 species
UCCGAGUUGACCCCGGCAGUCUCCUAUGAGUCCCCGCCAUUACGCGCUGGCAACAUAGAACGAGGGUUGCGCUCGUUGCGGGACUUAACCCAACAUCUCACGACACGAGCUGACGACAACCAUGCACCACCUGUCACCGGUCCAGCCGAACUGAAGGAAUCCAUCUCUGGAAACCGCGACCGGGAUGUCAAAGCCUGGUAAGGUUCUUCGCGUUGCCUCGAAUUAAACCACAUGUUCCACCGCUUGUGCAGGCCCCCGUCAAUUUCUUUGAGUUUUAAUCUUGCGACCGUACUUCCCAGGCGGCACGUUUAACGCGUUGGCUACGCCACAAAAGGGGUCGAUUCCUUUUACAGCAAACGUGCACCGUUUACAGCUAGGACUAC